AUCAUGCCCCUUACGUCCAGGGCUGCACACAUGCUACAAUGGCCGGUACAACGGGCUGCUAUCCCGCGAGGGGGAGCCAAUCCCAAAAGCCGGUCUCAGUUCGGAUCGCAGUCUGCAACUCGACUGCGUGAAGUCGGAGUCGCUAGUAAUCCCGGAUCAGCAAUUUCGGGGGGAAUACGUUCCCGGGCCUUGUACACACCGCCCGUCACACCACGAAAGUCGGCAACACCCGAAGCCGGUGGCCCAACCCUUGUGGAGGGAGCCGUCGAAGGUGGGGUCGG
rnacentral:rRNA from 1 species